CCUCCACCUCCUGGGUUUAAGCAAUUCUCCUGCCUCAGCCUCCCAAGUAGCUGGGAUUACAGGCACGCACCACCAUGCCUGGCUAACUUUUGUAUUUUUAGUAGAGAUGGGGUCUCACCAUGUUGCCUCGGCUGGUCUCGAACUCCUGGCGUCAAAGAGAUCUGCCUGCCUUGGACUCCCAAAGUGCUGGGAUUACAGGUGUGAGCCACCACACCUGGCAGAGGGAAUAAGACAUGGACACCUUUGAGAGGCCAUUUUUCUGCUCACCACAAGGCCCCAAGGAAAUGGAAGAGGAUGCUAAUGGAGGGACCCACUGGCACCCACUGAGUUGGUAUGAAGAGUAUUUUAAACUGAAACAUUUAAGACACAGCAGAUACAGAAAGAAGCCUUUCUGGAGCUUCCCUUAUUUGACUAAAGCCAGAGCUUUCAGAGAGUGAAGCUGCCAUAAAUUCCCUCUUGGGGAGCUUCACUGCCAAUAAGGAGACUUCACUGCCAGGAAGAAAACUACACUGCCAGGAAGGAGACCACUUGCACCUGAAUGACAAAUUGCAUAACCGAACAUAAUCACAAAUUGUCGUACCAUCAUUUGUUUCCCUAAAAGCCCAUUUGUCUUUCCAUAAAAGUAUAUUUGCUUUCCCAUAGAUCACCUUCUCUCCUCCUCCCUUUUCCCAUAUUAUUGGCGUAUAAAUUCUCAUCCCUAACUGUACAGAGAGCCUCUUCACCUGAAUAAGUGUAAAUAAACCUUGUCUAUUCUCCUGUUAA